rnacentral:misc_RNA from 1 species
GAAACAGAGAAUGACUCGGAAGGAAUAGCAAUUUACAUGAUCAGUGUUACAUAAAUCAUGGGAAGUAUUAUUAAUCCAUCUCUUAGCCGAGUCCUUUCAUGCAUAAAAAGUUAACAAGCCUGUCAUGCCAACAGGGAAAUGUUUCCCUUCCGCUAGAGAAAAGUUUCCUUCCACAUCAGUUCCGUAGUGAUCAACUAAAAAGUUCCUUAACCCAACAGAGCUCUAAAAUGGUGGGUAAUCAUUUGCCACGUUGCAG